GUAAGAAGUUUUUGAAAUUUGAGAAGAACGGUUACGAAACCGUCUCUCAUUUCUUACGUUUUGAAACUGACCCUUGAAUGAUCCACCUGUUGAAAAACUCAACGGAAGACCGUCAUUAAAAACCUCUUGAAUAGGGAGACGUUGGGGCCUAACGUCUCCUGGUGUGAAGCCAAAGAUAAAGGGGCUUCACCGAGAGAAAAAAAAAAAAACAACAGAGUUCUUUCAUCCCUUUCUUUGAAUUUUUUAAGCUUGGUUUCCUUCACGGUCUUUUAAGCAGAGUGAUCAUUUCAAGCUCUGUACUCUUCCUUUUUCUAUUCUUUCUUUAUUUCUUAUCAAACCAUAGUGUACGAGCAAAGAGAAAAAUUCCUGCGGAGUUCAAGAGAUUUUGUAGUAUUGUGCACGUCUACAAAAUCAACGGUCUGUUGUAUCUUAGGAAGGGAUCGCCAGAAUCCGGUGCAUAUAAGGAGGCGAAUCUCUUUCAAAGACAGUGACUACACGCCUCGGACCGAUCUACAGGUAUUAUCUAUUUUAUUUUGGAUCUAAAGAAAAUGACAUCAAAGAGGUACGCAUUGGAAUCAGUUGUUUCAAUGAUAUUAAAUUAUUUAAGUUUUAUUUGAGUUCUUUGAGUUGAUUAUUACAACAUUUUUGAAAGAGAUUU
rnacentral:lncRNA from 1 species